rfam:Desulfosporosinus sp. I2 contig00022, whole genome shotgun sequence.
CAGACGAUAUCGAUAAGAGUUGUACUGUCAGGGGUAAGGAUUAGAAAACUCAUAGAAUCAAGCUUAAAGUUUGAAAAGAAAAUAGCUUUUUAACCGCUUGGAUCAAUUUGACCGAGACGGAGGG